rnacentral:rRNA from 1 species
UGGGGAAUUUUGGACAAUGGGCGCAAGCCUGAUCCAGCAAUGCCGCGUGCAGGAAGAAGGCCUUCGGGUUGUAAACUGCUUUUGUACAGAGCGAAAAGGCUCUCUCUAAUACAGGGGGCUGAUGACGGUACCGUAAGAAUAAGCACCGGCUAACUACGUGCC